AGGAGAGACAGCUUGGAGGUGAAUAGUGAUGCGAGCUGAUGCGCUCGCAUCGUGUUUCUUUAAAUUGUUGGGCUAGUUUUAAUUUUAAAAAAAAAAAAGAACCGGGUCAAUUUAAUGAAGGAAAAGGUCGCGAUUUUGUAGGUUUAGCAAUCGCGACUUUUCUUCUUCAGUUUUUCAUCUGUUACAACUUGUUGUGCCAUUCUUGUUUUCUUCUUCUCCAAAGUCCAAUCUCCAUUGUUGCUGUGACUUCUCCUCUUUAAGGUAAUUUUUCUUCCUUCUUCUUUCUUAUUUCAUCUUCUUUCUUCUCCUUCUCUAUUUCAUUGUUUCUUUUUUUUCUUCUUUUUUUAAAAAGAAGAAACACUUCUGCUCUUCUUCCUUGCUCUUUACUGCUGAUCUAUUUUUACUCGUUUUACCUAGAGUUUUCUGCUGCUCUAUUUUUAUUUUUUCCGCAGCUUUUUUUACUCUUUUUUUCACUUUCUUUUUCCCUAUUUUACUUUCGGUGUUUCAUACUUUCAUUUAUACUUUUGCUUAUAUAUAGCAUCUUUAUUGUUGAUUAUAUAGUUGUUGUGGUCUUUUCACUUAUGAUUUAUUGUUUUGGAUGCUCUGUUAGGUCCUUUUUCUUUUAAAUUGAGCUUCACUCAAUAUUAAGUGAUUACAAGUGCAGAGCCUACGAGAACAAUCCCUCAAACUUAGUGGAAGUUCAUUCUCAUAUAGGAUAAAAGUUCAGCGACUCAUCAUCCCCGGUGACAUGGCACAAAGAACAACCAGGAGACAAAUAUGUCAGGCCGCUCAGGAACGCAGACAAACUCUUUAGGAGCUGAGCAUUGCAGGAAAAUUAGUUGGCUCACUAACCGAACUAACACAUGGCGCGCCAUCAUAGGUUUUAGUCCUUUAGGACUUUAUUGUUGAAAUCUAAUUGGCCAAGGCCUAAUGUUGUAACUUAUAAAUAGUCGCACAUUCUCACUUGUAUAGAAUCAACUCCUCACUUUCUCUUACUCAAUACAACAGUUUUACUUAGUCUCCAAGCAUUUUUUUCUUAUUCUUUACUAUCUAUCGAGAUAUUGAUUAUGUGCCUCCGUCAACAGCUCGGAUUAGAUCUCAGACGCGCUCGUAUUUGCACUGGGCUCGCCUAGAUUUGUUUGUUUUACUGUGUUAAUCUCGUUUAAUUAAUAUCUUGUUGAUUUCCUUUAUCAUUUCGUAAUCAAACUACUAGUAAAUCGAACUCGGAAUAAAGUUAAAUCGAAACACAUGCUCUUGACACACCUACAAAUCAAAUGCACCAAAU
rnacentral:lncRNA from 1 species